rnacentral:rRNA from 1 species
UUCCGGUUGAUCCUGCCAGAGGUCACUGCUAUCGGUGUCCGAUUAAGCCAUGCGAGUCGAGAGGUGUAAGACCUCGGCAGACUGCUCAGUAACACGUGGAUAACCUGCCCAAGGGUCCGGGAUAACCCCGGGAAACUGGGGAUAAUACCGGAUGGGUCACCAGUGCUGGAAUGCUUGGUGGUCGAAAGGUGACGCCUUUGGAUGGGUCUGCGGCGGAUUAGGUUGACGCCGGUGUAACGUACCGGCGUGCCUGUAAUCCGUACGGGUUGUGGGAGCAAGAGCCCGGAGAUGGAUUCUGAGACACGAAUCCAGGCCCUACGGGGCGCAGCAGGCGCGAAAACUCUACAAUGCAGGCAACUGCGAUAGGGGGACAUCGAGUGGCAUCCACCUUGGGUGUCUGUCCAACCGUCUAAAAAACGGUUGUUAGCAAGGG